rnacentral:rRNA from 1 species
UGGCGACCGGCGUACGGGUGAGUAACGCGUAUCCAACCUGCCCUUUACUAUGGGACAGCCCGUCGAAAGGCGGAUUAAUACCGUAUGUUGUCAUGUUGAUGCAUAUUUUCAUGACCAAAGGCUUCGGCCGGUAAAGGAUGGGGAUGCGUCUGAUUAGCUUGCCGGCGGGGUAACGGCCCACCGGGGCGACGAUCAGUAGCCGACCUGAGAGGGUGACCGGCCACAUUGGGACUGAGACACGGCCCAAACUCCUACGGAAGGCAGCAG